GAACGGGUGAGUAAUAUAUCGGAACGUACCUAGAAGUGGGGGAUAACGCAGCGAAAGUUGCGCUAAUACCGCAUAUUCUCUAAGGAGGAAAGUGGGGGCUCGCAAGACCUCAUGCUUUUAGAGCGGCCGAUAUCUGAUUAGCUAGUUGGUGAGGUAAAGGCUCACCAAGGCAUCGAUCAGUAGCUGGUCUGAGAGGACGACCAGCCACACUGGAACUGAGACACGGUCCAGACUCCUACGGGAGGCAGCAGUGGGGAAUUUUGGACAAUGGGCGCAAGCCUGAUCCAGCAAUGCCGCGUGAGUGAAGAAGGCCUUCGGGUUGUAAAGCUCUUUUGUCCGGGAAGAAACGGUUCUUUUUAAUAAAGGGAGCUAAUGACGGUACCGGAAGAAUAAGCACCGGCUAACUACGUGCCAGCAGCCGCGGUAAUACGUAGGGUGCAAGCGUUAAUCGGAAUUACUGGGCGUAAAGCGUGCGCAGGCGGUUUAUUAAGUCAGCUGUGAAAUCCCCGGGCUUUAACCUGGGAAUGGCCAGUUGAGACUGGUAAGCUGGAGUGUGUCAGAGGGGGGGUAGAAUUCCACGUGUAGCAGGUGAAUGCGUAGAGAUGUUGGGAGGAUUAACCGA
rnacentral:rRNA from 1 species